UGAAAAUCCAAUUGAACAAUAUUGGAGAAUUCAUUAAAGAUUUUUAGGACUCGUACGUAUUCGGCUUCGGAUUCGAAUGGAAUCGCACGGACUCGUUGAUAUUCACAGUAUUUUCACAAAUUCCUUCUUUGCGCUGCUUCGUGUUGCAGACUAGAUAAUAAUAAUAAUAAUAAUAAUAAUAAUAAUAAUAAUAAUAAUAAUAAUAAUCGGCUGCCGCCGAAUUCGCUCGUAUUUCUCCGUAACCAUUCGUGACUCGCAACAAUUCUUACUGCAUGACUUAGGAUUUUACUGUAAUCGACGAGAUUUGUUGGAUUCGCAUAGUAUUCGACAAAUUCGAACGUCCUUUUCAGUAAUCGCCGGUAAUCUCCACUUAAAAUACAAUUUAUUCAGAAUCAAGAAAUUUAUAUUUUCUUAUGUUAAUUGAUGAAUAUUCGGAAGAUACCUAGUAUAUUCUCUACAUUACAAAUCGGGUAUUUGAGAGUGAACAGCCCCUCGAAGAUAUUUUACAUUUUAAUAUUACAAAAGUUACUAAAAUUCAAAACAAAAAAAAAUUAAUUAAAUAAAAUUGAAAAUUUUACAAAAUAUGAUUUUUUUUUCGACAAAAUUCUGUUGAAUUUGUUUAAUGUUUUUUAAAAAACAUGAACCUAUUUAAAUAUUCUAACAAGUUUAUAAACUCAAUGAAUGUUGGAUCGAUAGUCUUAUUUAUGAAUAUAUUUUACGACCUAGCCAGUGACAACAACGUUAUUCGAGUUUUCAUAAUAAAAAAUGUUACAAGAUAACUUUUGCAGUCUUGUUAUGUGUCACUGUAUGGGAUCAGUUGAGAGGGAUAAUAAUCAUUCGACUUGCGGAGUUUAUAUAUACUUGAAGACUGCGAUGAAACACUAAUUGACAGAAAAGAGAGAGAGAGGGAGAGAGCUGCAGGCGUCGUCGUGCGCCGUUUCAACAAGUUGAUAAUCCGUUAAAAUGUUUCUGGGAUAAUUUGUACACAAUAUUUUGUGACAUACAUACACACACACAUCAGGACAUUUGCUCAGAACUUCAAAUAUAUUAAUUGUAGAUAAGAAUGAGUACGUUCAUAAUUUCAAGAACAUAUUUUAUGUAUGUAACGCAGGCACCUUAAACGUAUAACAAAUAAGUAUAAAAAAGCAGAUAUUUUAUAGUUUAAAAAUUUUUCCAAUUUUAAAAUAAAAGUUUUUACAUGAUUCACCAAUAAAAAAAUAAUAUAAACG